GGAUAACCUACCCUUAGGACCGGGAUAACCUUGGGAAACUGAGGAUAAUACUGGAUAGGCAAUUAUUUCUGGAAUGGUUUUUUGUUUAAAUGUUUUUUUCGCCUAAGGAUGGGUCUGCGGCCGAUUAGGUAGUUGGUUAGGUAACGGCUUACCAAGCCAUUGAUCGGUACGGGUUGUGAGAGCAAGAGCCCGGAGAUGGAACCUGAGACAAGGUUCCAGGCCCUACGGGGUGCAGCAGGCGCGAAACCUCCGCAAUGUGAGAAAUCGCGACGGGGGGAUCCCAAGUGCCAUUCUUAACGGGAUGGCUUUUCAUUAGUGUAAAGAGCUUUUGGAAUAAGGGCUGGGCAAGACCGGUGCCAGCCGCCGCGGUAACACCGGCAGCUCUAGUGGUAGCAGUUUUUAUUGGGCCUAAAGCGUCCGUAGCCGGUUUAAUAAGUCUCUGGUGAAAUCCUGUAGCUUAACUGUGGGAAUUGCUGGAGAUACUAUUAGACUUGAGACCGGGAGAGGUUAGAGGUACUCCCAGGGUAGAGGUGAAACUCUGUAAUCCUGGGAGGACCGCCUGUUGCGAAGGCGUCUAACUGGAACGGUUCUGACGGUGAGGGACGAAAGUUAGGGGCGCGAACCGGAUUAGAUACCCGGGUAGUCCUAACUGUAAACGAUGCGGACUUGGUGUUGGGGUGGCUUUGAGCUGCUCCAGUGCCGAAGGGAAGCUGUUAAGUCCGCCGCCUGGGAAG
rnacentral:rRNA from 1 species